rnacentral:rRNA from 1 species
AGAGUUUGAUCCUGGCUCAGGACGAACGCUGGCGGCGUGCCUAAUACAUGCAAGUAGAACGCUGAAGGAGGAGCUUGCUUCUCUAGAUGAGUUGCGAACGGGUGAGUAACGCGUAAUCAACCUGCCCUUCAGAGGGGGACAACAGUUGGAAACGACUGCUAAUACCGCAUACGAACUGACCUCGGCAUCGAGGAUAGAUGAAAGGUGGCCUCUAUUUAUAAGCUAUCACUGAAGGAGGGGAUUGCGUCUGAUUAGCUAGUUGGAGGGGUAACGGCCCACCAAGGCGAUGAUCAGUAGCCGGUCUGAGAGGAUGAACGGCCACAUUGGGACUGAGACGCGGCCCAGACUCCUACGGGAGGCAGCAGUGGGGAAUCUUCCGCAAUGGACGAAAGUCUGACGGAGCAACGCCGCGUGAGUGAUGACGGCCUUCGGGUUGUAAAGCUCUGUUAAUCGGGACGAAAGGCCUUCUUGCGAAUAGUUAGAAGGAUUGACGGUACCGGAAUAGAAAGCCACGGCUAACUACGUGCCAGCAGCCGCGGUAAUACGUAGGUGGCAAGCGUUGUCCGGAAUUAUUGGGCGUAAAGCGCGCGCAGGCGGAUUGGUCAGUCUGUCUUAAAAGUUCGGGGCUUAACCCCGUGAUGGGAUGGAAACUGCCAAUCUAGAGUAUCGGAGAGGAAAGUGGAAUUCCUAGUGUAGCGGUGAAAUGCGUAGAUAUUAGGAAGAACACCAGUGGCGAAGGCGACUUUCUGGACGAAAACUGACGCUGAGGCGCGAAAGCCAGGGGAGCGAACGGGAUUAGAUACCCCGGUAGUCCUGGCCGUAAACGAUGGGUACUAGGUGUAGGAGGUAUCGACCCCUUCUGUGCCGGAGUUAACGCAAUAAGUACCCCGCCUG